UUGAAGAGUUUGAUCAUGGCUCAGAUUGAACGCUGGCGGCAGGCCUAACACAUGCAAGUCGAACGGUAACAGGAAGAAGCUUGCUUCUUUGCUGACGAGUGGCGGACGGGUGAGUAAUGUCUGGGAAACUGCCUGAUGGAGGGGGAUAACUACUGGAAACGGUAGCUAAUACCGCAUAACGUCGCAAGACCAAAGAGGGGGACCUUCGGGCCUCUUGCCAUCGGAUGUGCCCAGAUGGGAUUAGCUAGUAGGUGGGGUAACGGCUCACCUAGGCGACGAUCCCUAGCUGGUCUGAGAGGAUGACCAGCCACACUGGAACUGAGACACGGUCCAGACUCCUACGGGAGGCAGCAGUGGGGAAUAUUGCACAAUGGGCGCAAGCCUGAUGCAGCCAUGCCGCGUGUAUGAAGAAGGCCUUCGGGUUGUAAAGUACUUUCAGCGGGGAGGAAGGGAGUAAAGUUAAUACCUUUGCUCAUUGACGUUACCCGCAGAAGAAGCACCGGCUAACUCCGUGCCAGCAGCCGCGGUAAUACGGAGGGUGCAAGCGUUAAUCGGAAUUACUGGGCGUAAAGCGCACGCAGGCGGUUUGUUAAGUCAGAUGUGAAAUCCCCGGCUCAACCGGGAACUGCAUCUGAUACUGGCAAGCUUGAGUCUCGUAGAGGGGUAGAAUUCCGUGUAGCGGUGAAAUGCGUAGAGAUCUGGAGGAAUACCGGUGGCGAAGGCGGCCCCGGACGAAGACUGACGCUCAGGUGCGAAAGCGUGGGGAGCAAACAGGAUUAGAUACCCUGGUAGUCCACGCCGUAAACGAUGUCGACUUGGAGGUUGUGCCCUUGAGGCGUGGCUUCCGGAGCUAACGCGUUAAGUCGACCGCCUGGGGAGUACGGCCGCAAGGUUAAAACUCAAAUGAAUUGACGGGGGCCCGCACAAGCGGUGGAGCAUGUGGUUUAAUUCGAUGCAACGCGAAGAACCUUACCUGGUCUUGACAUCCACGGAAGUUUUCAGAGAUGAGAAUGUGCCUUCGGGAACCGUGAGACAGGUGCUGCAUGGCUGUCGUCAGCUCGUGUUGUGAAAUGUUGGGUUAAGUCCCGCAACGAGCGCAACCCUUAUCCUUUGUUGCCAGCGGUCCGGCCGGGAACUCAAAGGAGACUGCCAGUGAUAAACUGGAGGAAGGUGGGGAUGACGUCAAGUCAUCAUGGCCCUUACGACCAGGGCUACACACGUGCUACAAUGGCGCAUACAAAGAGAAGCGACCUCGCGAGAGCAAGCGGACCUCAUAAAGUGCGUCGUAGUCCGGAUUGGAGUCUGCAACUCGACUCCAUGAAGUCGGAAUCGCUAGUAAUCGUGGAUCAGAAUGCCACGGUGAAUACGUUCCCGGGCCUUGUACACACCGCCCGUCACACCAUGGGAGUGGGUUGCAAAAGAAGUAGGUAGCUUAACCUUCGGGAGGGCGCUUACCACUUUGUGAUUCAUGACUGGGGUGAAGUCGUAACAAGGUAACCGUAGGGGAACCUGCGGUUGGAUCACCUCCUU
rnacentral:rRNA from 1 species